GAGGAAACACAAUCUGUUGGGCAGUUGAGGGAAGUAUCAAACAAGGCGCACAAUGCUGAACUAAAGCUGUUCUUGGAAGUAGAGUUAGGACCGGAUUUACGCCCUCUUCCUCCGCCAGAUAAGACAAAAGAAGAUAUAUUACUGUUUUUCAAGCUAUAUGACCCUGAUAAGGAAGAGCUAAGAUAUGUUGGGAGGCUCUUUGUAAAGGCAGUCGGGAGGCCAAUCGAAAUCUUGACAAGGCUGAAUGCAAUGGCUGGUUUUUCACCAAAUGAAGAAAUUGAACUUUUUGAGG
rnacentral:misc_RNA from 1 species